rnacentral:rRNA from 1 species
UACGUAGGGGGCAAGCGUUGUCCGGAUUUAUUGGGCGUAAAGAGCGUGUAGGCGGCCUGAAAGGUCAGCUGUGAAAACUCGAGGCUCAACCUCGAGACGUCGGUUGAAACCAUCUGGCUAGAGUCCGGAAGAGGAGAGUGGAAUUCCCGGUGUAGCGGUGAAAUGCGCAGAUAUCGGGAGGAACACCGGUGGCGAAGGCGGCGAUCUGGGUAGAUACUGACGCUGAGGUGCGAAAGCGUGGGGAGCAAAUAGG